CAGUUUAAUCAGUAUCGAUGCGAUAUUGCGACCAAGUUUGGAUGGAGGCUGAUGGAGAGAUAUUUGUCCCUCACUUUCUCCGAGGAGCUUGUUUGUCCAUUUCGCCACUUAACAAAACACGUGAUAUUUCAGCUCGAGAACAUAUUCUGAAGAGAGAUCGUCAUCAUCAUGCAUUAUUACGACCAGCAACAGCCUGAUUUUGUUGGUGUUCCGCAACAGCCUUCUGUUGGUCUUCCUCAACAGCCUCCAGUUGGUGUCCUCAACAGCCUCCUGUUGGUCUUCCUCCUCAGUGGAAUCCAAAUUAUGUUGCCUAUCCUCCACCGCCAGUAUAUCCUCCUCCACCAAUAUAUCCUCCACCACCGGUCGCUAUCCAAAUGAAUAACAAUUCAACGCGACAAGUAGAGUACGUCUACGUGACUCCAAAACAAGAAACGGGUUUACUCGAGAGUUGUUUGGCGCUGCUCUGCUGUUGUAGCUUUUCCAUAUUUCCUUGCUUGCAGAACAAAGAAGCUUCAGCGAUUCAACCGAGCAUGGUCACUUCACUUUGACCGCAAUAAAUAUGUAGAAGGCAUCAUUUUCUCAUACUUUCACAUAUGUAUAUGUGUUUGUGCUUUCCAAUAUUUGCAUUGAUGUUUGAAUGGAAUAUACGCACAGCGCUGCAAGACUUUCUUU